AACUUUUAUACAGUGAUACAAGUCAUUUAAGUCAAUAUUUCAGCACUGUUUUGUAACUGAAUUGUUACAAAAGAAAUCUAGUAUGUAGUAACUUUGUGUCUUUGUAUUCAUAGCGUGUGUCAAAUACGAUUGUGCACCAAGUUCCUGAGAACAGGUGUUCUGCUGCUUUUGAAAAAGAAAAUAAAUAAAGAACUGGAGGAGAAAAAAGGGACAACAGGCGACACAGAAGAUAAUUUAGAUCAUUGUGUGAACUUUCACCAGAUGAGUGACUUAAACCUGUCAUCAGCAACUGUAAUGCCCGGAGAACCAACUGUGUGAAGGGACUGCAGUGAGAAUUCAAGAGCGUCCUGUGGUCCUUCAGACAUCUGCAGAAAGCUAAGAGAAAUCUGAGUAUCCUGUGGAGAGCAACUUUCUGACUGAGUGGUACUUACUUGCUGCGCAGCCCUCCUGCUCUGAACCAUACAGACAGAAACAACGGGGUUGGAGCUGUCCUCCUGUGAAAUGCCUGGCUGGUGUGUGUGACAGGCCUUCAAAGGGCUGCCUCCAUGGUACCCACAACUUCCAGCUAAAUGCACAACAGCCUGAUAAAGCUGUUUGUACACCAGACGAUGAACUGUGUAAGAGAUGUAGUCUUGUUUGCUUCUUCAGGAAAACCUCCUAUGAGCAGAGAGGGUAA
rnacentral:lncRNA from 1 species